rnacentral:rRNA from 1 species
UACGAAGGGGGCUAGCGUUGUUCGGAAUCACUGGGCGUAAAGCGCACGUAGGCGGAUUUGCCAGUCAGGGGUGAAAUCCCGGGGCUCAACCUCGGAACUGCCUUUGAUACAGCAAGUCUCGAGUCCGGAAGAGGUGGGUGGAAUUCCUAGUGUAGAGGUGAAAUUCGUAGAUAUUAGGAAGAACACCAGUGGCGAAGGCGGCCCACUGGUCCGGCACUGACGCUGAGGUGCGAAAGCGUGGGGAGCAAACAGGAUUAGAAACCCUUGUAGU